rnacentral:rRNA from 1 species
AAACCAACCGGGAUUGCCUUAGUAACGGCGAGUGAAGCGGCAAAAGCUCAAAUUUGAAAUCUGGUACCUUCGGUGCCCGAGUUGUAAUUUGGAGAGGGCAACUUUGGGGCCGUUCCUUGUCUAUGUUCCUUGGAACAGGACGUCAUAGAGGGUGAGAAUCCCGUGUGGCGAGGAGUGCGGUUCUUUGUAGAGUGCCUUCGAAGAGUCGAGUUGUUUGGGAAUGCAGCUCUAAGUGGGUGGUAAAUUCCAUCUAAAGCUAAAUAUUGGCGAGAGACCGAUAGCGAACAAGUACAGUGAUGGAAAGAUGAAAAGAACUUUGAAAAGAGAGUGAAAAAGUACGUGAAAUUGUUGAAAGGGAAGGGCAUUUGAUCAGACAUGGUGUUUUGUGCCCUCUGCUCCUUGUGGGUAGGGGAAUCUCGCAUUUCACUGGGCCAGCAUCAGUUUUGGUGGCAGGAUAAAUCCAUAGGAAUGUAGCUUGCCUCGGUAAGUAUUAUAGCCUGUGGGAAUACUGCC